GAGCAUCUUCAACAAGAAGUACUACACGGGUACCAAGAAACUAGUGACCAAUGUGCAGAAGAGAUGAAUACCACAACUAAAUAGUGGUUAAUUGAAGAAGUAACAUGUGCUACACGGAUACCAAGACAGAAAAAAAGAUGACAUGUGGAUCCAUCAAGAAAAAAAAAUGAAUAGAGAAAAAACAUAUUAAAAAAAGAGAGAAAAAAUUCAGUAUCAACGACCGUUGGAGAUGGCAUAAUUGCAUACGAUGGUUCCUCGAUCGCCUAGUUUGGGGUUCGGUGCUGCCGAAGUAAACUGUCUGUCUCGCCUCCACAAAAAGUUGGAAAUGGUAUCAGCCCAGGCCCGCCUGCUAAGUGUUCGGCGGAAUGCUCUCCUGUGUGCAAGCAGUUAACCAUAACAGAACAAGGCAUACCAUCUGUUCGACAGAAUGCUUGCGAGGAACAAAACAAGCUGCAACACCCUUUGCGAGCAAGCUAGCUGGAGUGGAACCAACUGCGGAGCCUGGUUUUCUUGGGGGGGUAUCAGUUUUGAUGCUCUUCUUCGGCCCUUUUAGGAGAUCUCGUCAAGUUUUUUUUUACGGUAAAGGAACUAUUUUAUCCGACUUUCCUGUACUGCUGCAUUUGUCAGUCUGAACUCAGCUAUCACUCUCAAAGACAUCUUAAACGAAGUGCGGAAUCAAAGCGUGUUUAAUGGAUUGUGUUCCUCUACAGCUAGUUAAGCUUGCCCGUGACUCGCUUGCAUGAGACACAUUACACAACAUGGUAAGCACUAAGCAGUAAAAUGACCAAGGCAUGUGCACCAACAGUUGAAAGGCAGACUAGCAUUACUUUCUCUUGUCCUUUUGUUUUCUGGUGAGAAGAACAAGACUUUGGAAAAAGAAAUCGUGUGACGAUCCAGCAAAUGAUACAGAAGCUUUGGCAUAGCUUGUCGGUUUGGUGAUUAAUUUAGCAUCAGUGGAUCACUUCACCAGUGUUCAGUUCAUCCAGCAGCAUGGUGGUUUCGUUCUUUACUCGCAGUUAAAAAUGGCAACAAUUAUGGUUUGCUGUCAUUUUCUCUGGAUUUCCCCCGUCCAGCUUCCUGUACUGUAUUAUUCCUAGAAAGCUGAUAAGUAGAAGGAAAGAAUAAAGAAGUUAAUUGUAAAAGAAGCAACGAAGAGAUGUACUUGUCCAGUUCACCAGAUUUUCCAUGCUUCUCCAAUUGUAGCAAAAGGCCCGAAUGAGUGCUGAGGUGAAACUUGCUUUGAGACCAUGGCAUUUUUCCCUUAAGUAGCAACAGUGCAUCUUCCUUUGCUCAAGUGAAGGCUUCCCAUUUGCUGCUUCUCUUUAUGCUCUUCAUCAGCUGUACUCUGUUGUGGUUGGCAGCCUUUGCAAGCUAUCAGGUGUUAAUCUUGCAGGGUGACCCAGGCAGGCUAGGUUUCCUCCUUUCAUCUUUACCACUCAUCAUCUUAUCUCUUUGCAUGGAUGAAACUUACUCCAGUCUUCAGCUAACGAUGCUUGUACAAGGGGUUCUCCCUCUGUCUAAAAAUUAGAUUCUUCUAAAAGGGGUUCUCUCUCACACGCACAAAAAAGGAGAUUCUUGUAAAAGGGGCCAACAUAUAGUUUAUACAUUAUGUCGUUUUUUAUAUUACUUUGGAAAAGGCUAAGCACCGAGCUCACGUUAUGAAAUACUACCGCUUUCCAUGGUUCAGUUC